CCUACGGGUGGCAGCAGUGAGGAAUAUUGGUCAAUGGCCGCAGGUCUGAACGAGCCAAGUCGCGUGAGGGAUGACGGUCCUAUGGAUUGUAAACCUCUUUUGUCAGGGAGCAAAGGGCGCCACGUGUGGCGCUUUGCGAGUACCUGAAGAAAAAGCAUCGGCUAACUCCGUGCCAGCAGCCGCGGUAAUACGGAGGAUGCGAGCGUUAUCCGGAUUUAUUGGGUUUAAAGGGUGCGCAGGCGGAAUGUCAAGUCAGCGGUAAAAUUUCGGGGCUCAACCCCGUCGUGCUGUUGAAACUGGCGGUCUUGAGUGAGCGAGAAGUAUGCGGAAUGCGAGGUGUAGCGGUGAAAUGCAUAGAUAUAACGCAGAACUCCGAUUGCGAAGGCAGCACACCGGCGCGCAACUGACGCUCAUGCACGAAAGCGUGGGUAUCGAACAGGAUUAGAUACCCUUGUAGUC
rnacentral:rRNA from 1 species